UCACUUUGUUUUGACAUGCCUUUUGUGUACUGAGAAUCUAAGAGUGGAGUCAUAUGUGCAUAGAUUGUUCCAAAGAAAUUAUUCAGCAAAUGGUGUGGUGUGCAUAAGAUACUUGAAUCAGUUUUUAUCAUACACUGAUUUAUACCAUCAACGAUCGCGAAUCUGACUUCCCUAUUAGACUUGCGGUUAAGUGAAAUAUCUAAUGUAAGUUCUUCUCUUGCAUUUAUCAAGGAUAUGAAGUCUCUAAGUACCUUAGUACUUAGGAACAACAAUAUCACUGGUACAAUUCCAUCGAAUAACGGAGAGCUCCAACAGUUACAAAAA